GAUGAACGCUGGCGGCGUGCCUAAUACAUGCAAGUCGAGCGAACGGACGAGAAGCUUGCUUCUCUGAUGUUAGCGGCGGACGGGUGAGUAACACGUGGAUAACCUACCUAUAAGACUGGGAUAACUUCGGGAAACCGGAGCUAAUACCGGAUAAUAUUUUGAACCGCAUGGUUCAAAAGUGAAAGACGGUCUUGCUGUCACUUAUAGAUGGAUCCGCGCUGCAUUAGCUAGUUGGUAAGGUAACGGCUUACCAAGGCAACGAUGCAUAGCCGACCUGAGAGGGUGAUAGGCCACACUGGAACUGAGCCACGGACCAGACUCCUACGGGAGGCAGCAGUAGGGAAUCUUCCGCAGUGGGCGAAAGCCUGACGGAGCAACGCCGCGUGAGUGAUGACGGUCUUCGGAUCGUAAAGCUCUGUUAUUAGGGAAGAACAUAUGUGUAAGUAGCUGUGCACAUCUUGACGGUACCUAAUCAGAAAGCCACGGCUAACUACGUG
rnacentral:rRNA from 1 species